GAUGAACGCUGGCGGCGUGCCUAACACAUGCAAGUCGAGCGAAGCACUUUACUUUGAAUCUUCGGAGGAAGAGUUCAGUGACUGAGCGGCGGACGGGUGAGUAACGCGUGGGUAACCUGCCUCAUACAGGGGGAUAACAGUUAGAAAUGACUGCUAAUACCGCAUAAGACCCCGGCACCGCAUGGUGCAGAGGUAAAAACUCCGGUGGUAUGAGAUGGACCCGCGUCUGAUUAGCUAGUUGGUAAGGUAACGGCUUACCAAGGCGACGAUCAGUAGCCGACCUGAGAGGGUGACCGGCCACAUUGGGACUGAGACACGGCCCAAACUCCUACGGGAGGCAGCAGUGGGGAAUAUUGCACAAUGGGGGAAACCCUGAUGCAGCGACGCCGCGUGAGCGAAGAAGUAUUUCGGUAUGUAAAGCUCUAUCAGCAGGGAAGAAACUGACGGUACCUGACUAAGAAGCACCGGCUAAAUACGUGCCAGCAGCCGCAGUAAAAC
rnacentral:rRNA from 1 species